CGAACAGGUGAGUAACGCGUGGGUAACCUGCCUUAUAGCGGGGAUAACUACUGGAAACGAUAGCUAAUACCGCAUAACAAUAGAGAUUGCAUAUCUUUAUUUGAAAGUGCCAACUGGUACACUAUGAGAUGGACCCGCGUUGUAUUAGCUAGUUGGUAGUGUAAUGGACUACCAAGGCGAUGAUACAUAGCCGACCUGAGAGGGUGAUCGGCCACAUUGGGACUGAGACACGGCCCAAACUCCUACGGGAGGCAGCAGUAGGGAAUCUUCGGCAAUGGACGAAAGUCUGACCGAGCAACGCCGCGUGAGUGAAGAAGGUUUUCGGAUCGUAAAACUCUGUUGUUAGAGAAGAAUGUUGAUUAGAGUGGAAAAUUAAUCAAGUGACGGUAUCUAACCAGAAAGGGACGGCUAACUACGUG
rnacentral:rRNA from 1 species